AUUGAACGCUGGCGGCAUGCUUUACACAUGCAAGUCGAACGGUAACAGGCCUUCGGGUGCUGACGAGUGGCGAACGGGUGAGUAAUGCAUCGGAACGUACCCAGCGGUGGGGGAUAACGCAGCGAAAGCUGUGCUAAUACCGCAUGUGAUCUGAGGAUGAAAUCGGGGGACCGAGCAGCAAUGUUUGGCCUCGCGCCUUUGGACCGGCCGAUGUUGGGGUGGCUAGUGGGGGGGGUAAUGGCCUACCCGGGCGACGAUCCGUAGCUGGACGGAGAGGACGGCCGCCGACAUGAGAACGGGGCCACGGACCAGGGGACUGAGGGAGGCAGCAGAGGGGAAUGUGAGGCAGUGGGCGCGAGCCUGAUACAGCAAGGCCGCGUGCGAGAAGGAGGCCUUCGGGUUGUAAUCCGCGUUUGGGAGGAACGAAACGGUGUCCGCUAAGACCGGGCGCUAAUGACGGUACCGGCAGAAUAAGCACCGGCUAACUACGUG
rnacentral:rRNA from 1 species